CAAUAGCGUAUAUUAAAGUUGUUGCAGUUAAAAAGCUCGUAGUUGGAUUUCUGGUGGGAGCGAUCGGUCUGGCGCUUAGCGCGAGUACUUGCAUCGUCUCCGGCCAUCCUUGGGGAGAGUCUGUCUGGCAUUAGGUUGUCGGGCAGAGGAUCCUCAUCGUUUACCGUGAAAAAAUUAGAGUGUUCAAAGCAGGCUUAUGCCGUUGAAUAUAUUAGCAUGGAAUAAUAAGAUAGGACUUUGGUACUAUUUUGUUGGUUUGCGCACCAAAGUAAUGAUUAAUAGGGACAGUUGGGGGUAUUCGUAUUCCGUUGUCAGAGGUGAAAUUCUUGGAUUUACGGAAGACGAACUACUGCGAAAGCAUUUACCAAGGAUGUUUUCAUUAA
rnacentral:rRNA from 1 species